rnacentral:rRNA from 1 species
UACGUAGGGUGCAAGCGUUUGUCCGGAAUUAUUGGGCGUAAAGAGCUCGUAGGCGGUUUGUUGCGUCGGCUGUGAAAUCCCGAGGCUCAACCUCGGGUCUGCAGUCGAUACGAGCAAACUAGAGUGUUGCAGGGGAGACUGGAAUUCCUGGUGUAGCGGUGAAAUGCGCAGACAUCAGGAGGAACACCGAUGGCGAAGGCAGGUCUCUGGGCAUUAACUGACGCUGAGACGGCGAAAGCGUGGGGAGCAAACAGGG